rnacentral:rRNA from 1 species
AUGCAACAUAACGAGGAAAAGAGGGAGAUAAUAAACACGCGGAGGCGGGCAGCUUAUCGGAAGAAAGAUGAUGAGGUUACCGUUGUACGGGAAGCAGUUGUGCAAAAUGUUCUCCGGGCCCCUCUCGGUGAUAUCACUAAUGGGUAUCAACCAACCUCUGUGGACCUUGAUGAAAAAAAGGAGCAGCUAAAAGCUCGGAGGCGAGCUACUUAUCGGAAGAAAAAAGAGGAUGCCGCCGUCAAGCAUCUACAUGAAAAUCUGCCUGCCCUUGCGAUAUCAGGUAUGAAUGUAGUAUGUUUCAGCAGUACGAUGAUAUAUAUAGGCCCUUUGUUGCAAACUAUAAGGUUAUUAUCGGAAGAUAAAUGA